UGAAAACUGAAGGACAAACAUCCUAAUUUUGUUUAAAAAAAUGAGAGGAGAAGCUGCAAAACCUACACCACAGCUGUGUAAAGGAUGGAUUGAGAAGAAGAGAGAUUGGAUUCUGGCCUCAGAAAUGUCUCAGGAAGGAUCGUGCCAUUGUGAGGACAGCCCUUGGCAUGACCUGUGGACAUAAGGAUGAAAUGCUCUGGGCUCUGGGUCAAGGUCCAGUCAUCGGAGAGUUCGACCCAAUGACAAAUGCACCAUACUCCUUUCUCAGGCUACCAAGGUGGUUUGCCAUCAGAUCAUAUUGAUGUUCACUGGCUGAGGGGCAGAAGGAGAGCUUUUGCCAGUUUUGGUGCUUUCUGUUAUUAAUAUUCAGUUAAGUUUGAAGAAAGUAAUUAUAUUCCAUUCAUUCUUCACCAGCUGGUAUUUACUUCAUCCUCCAUCAGGCAUCAACAGAGCAUGGGGCUGCAAGACAGAAAUAUUACUCUGGCAAGCAUAAAUAUUUCAU